AUGUAUAGCAAUAGCUGAUUGCACCAACAAAUAGUUGAUGCAAUAUUGACUCUGUCAAAUAAAAUUCUAGGUAGAAUUAUGAUAAUGACAUUGUCUGCCUAUAUGUCUUGACCAAAUUACGUGCCAGCAGUCGCGGUAAUACGUAGAAGACUAGUGUUAUUCAUCUUUAAUAGGUUUAAAGGGUACCUAGACGGUAAAUCAAGCCUUCACAGGGACUAAUUUACUAGAGUUACUUACGAGGGGGUAUUAAAGUACUGCAGGUGUAGAGAUGAAAUUCUGUCAUACCUCUUUUCAAAAGAAAAAUUAUGGCACAGGUAUAGGUGAAAGCAUCCCCUUAUGUGAUAACUGACGUUGAAGGACGAAGGCUUUGUGUCGCGAACAGGAUUAGAUACCCCAGUAGUCAAAGCAGAAAAUGAUGAAUGUCAUAGAUUAGAUAAAUAGUUUAUUCUAUAAAUGAAAAUGUAAGCAUUCCACCUCAAGAGUAAUUUGGCAACAUUGGAACUGAAAUCAUUAGACCGUUUCUGAAACCAGUAGUGAAGUAUGUUGUUUAAUUUGAUGAUCCGCAAAAAACCUUACCACAAUUUGAAUAUUUAUAUCUAUCUUUUUUUUUCGUAAAAAAAUAAAAAGGUAAUAUAUUUACAAGCGUUGCACGGCUGUCUUCAGUUAAUGUCGCGAGACUUUGGUUAGUUCCAUUAAAUUAACGUAAACCCUUACUUUAUUUUUAUAUGAAGUAGUUCCCCGCUAUAUUGGAUAUGAUAACAGGG
rnacentral:rRNA from 1 species